CACGUAGGCGGGCUGUCAAGUCGGCCGUGAAAGGCACGGGCUCAACCUGUGCAUGUCGGUCGAUACUGGCGGUCUGGAGUAUGGGAGAGGGAACUGGAAUUCCCGGUGUAGCGGUGAAAUGCGUAGAUAUCGGGAGUAACACCAGUGGCGAAGGCGGGUUCCUGGCCCAUGACUGACGCUGAGGUGCGAAAGCCGGGGGGAGCGAACGG
rnacentral:rRNA from 1 species